AAGCCAUGGUGAGGGCACCGUCUCAAUAAGUCCUUGUACCUCUCCCAUGCAUCAUAGAACAUUUCUAAAUUGACCUGCACGAAGGAAGAGAUAUCAAUCCUCAACUU
rnacentral:snoRNA from 1 species